UACGGGGCGCCGGGGUGCAGAGAAUGUGCGCGGUUUUUUUGGACAUUGCCUAAACCCCAAAGCCCUUCACUGCGCGUUGGACUGGAUUUCGAUCAACAAUGGAUGUUGCCAGAAAUGUUGCCACACGAGAACACACCCGAGCACUCACUCAAGAGGAUUGAGGGCCUGCCCCUUCGCGCUGUUUCGCACCUGGCAUAAUGUACAUCUUCCGUUAGUGCCGAAGUCAAUCUUCAGGUUCACACCUUUUGUGCUGUAACAGGAUGCGGCUUUUAUCCUGCACUGCAAGAAUCGCUCUUACCCACAAACGGCAACAUCCCAAAGUGCAGUGCAAACGCGCGACAAGACGAUGCGGUUCAAGUAAACUCUAACUGCCACUAAGCCAUGCUUUGAGGAUCACAAUUUGCUCCACCUAUCCCACUUUGCUUCCGACAGUCGCGUGAGUAGUGGAUAACUGAUGGCUCCAAGUACGGGACCCAUCGCAAGAGAAAACAACCACCAAAAGCAGGGUCCACGUCACGAAAGCGCGUCCCAACGUCCCGCGUCAUCAUCCCUUUGGUUUUCCCUGUUGCCAAAAUUGCUUCGCAACGCGCACAUUGAUUUGUUGUGUGUCACCUUCAAGGUUUGCGCCUGCAUUGCCGCGCCUUGGAGAAUUUGGGGCACAGCUCCUUAAACCUCAACGUGCAGCUCCUCACCCGUUCAUGCUGUCCCUUCCGUGCCUGUGUCCUAACGAGGCGCAGAAAACAUUAGCUGUCCGCUCACCUGGCCUGGAAAGUUACCGCGCGAUGUAUGAGCGGGCCUACCAGCCAGAACAACACCCUAUUGCACUGGCACAACCCACAUGGCGCUAUCACUGUAAGAUGUCUGCGUUACCCUAUCGUGCACCCAAUGCGAUAAGAUAGCAAAGAUCACUGCUGCAAAGCCCCGCCAUAAAAACUGGCGCCACGACUAAAGCCUUCAAAGUGCCCCUUUCGUCGCACGUUACAAAUGCCAUUGCCACAAUGGCAUGAAUGUAAAUUAUCUCUAGAUCUGCAUGCUUUGUGUGCAACUCCCCACAUCACAUCUGCGUUACGCACCGCGCACCGUAAGUAACCCGUCAAUAACGCAAGUAGAAGAGGCCAUCUCAGGAUUCCCGGAGUAAUAAUUCAGCGAAACGAGCUGGACUUGAUGGCGACCAGGGGAGCUCAGAGUAGUAGGCAACAAAACAAAAAUUCAAAUCGACAGGCUUCGUAAUUGAGCUAUACAUGGAAUGCCAGCGGUCCAUAUGACAAUCAGUAACCAAG
rnacentral:lncRNA from 1 species